AGAUUGAACGCUGGCGGCAUGCCUUACACAUGCAAGUCGAACGGCAGCACGGGGGCAACCCUGGUGGCGAGUGGCGAACGGGUGAGUAAUGCAUCGGAACGUGCCCAGUAGUGGGGGAUAACUAGUCGAAAGAUUAGCUAAUACCGCAUACGACCUAUGGGUGAAAGCGGGGGAUUCGCAAGAACCUCGCGCUAUCGGAGCGGCCGAUGUCUGAUUAGCUAGUUGGCGGGGUAAAAGCCCACCAAGGCUUCGAUCAGUAGCUGGUCUGAGAGGACGACCAGCCACACUGGGACUGAGACACGGCCCAGACUCCUACGGGAGCAGCGAGUGGGGUAAUUUGGACAA
rnacentral:rRNA from 1 species